rnacentral:lncRNA from 1 species
AAAAUUUGGAGUGAGCCCAUGGUCUUUAAAUUAUUGAUGUUGAAUCCAGUGACUUCAGCAUUAAUGUCUUUGGAUUUAAUUGUUCUGAAGACUGGAACUCACAACAGGAAGAUAAAUUAUUACAGUCUUGGUGCAGAUUUGCCUCCUUCCCUGAGAUGGAAAAUUUACACGAACUAGCAUACAGUCUUUACUGGUGGGAAAUAGCUGGGAAGAUUUCCCUCAGAGGUUUGGUGCAGCAGAUGGGUCUGAGGAGGUGGUGAAUUUGAGGUAAGUGUAAAGCAAGCAUCAGACAAUGUAGGUAGACUUUGGCCAGAGGCCAUUUUCCUGACAGCACUGAAUAAACUCUGAUGUGAAGCUGCA